rnacentral:tRNA from 1 species
AAUCUCGUGGCUCAAUGGAUAGAGUUUCAGUCUCCGAAGCUGAAGGCUGCAGGUUCGUGUCCUGCCGAGAUCA